rnacentral:rRNA from 1 species
AAGACUGGGAUAACUCCGGGAAACCGGGGCUAAUACCGGAUGGUUGUUUGAACCGCAUGGUUCAGACAUAAAAGGUGGCUUCGGCUACCACUUACAGAUGGACCCGCGGCGCAUUAGCUAGUUGGUGAGGUAACGGCUCACCAAGGCGACGAUGCGUAGCCGACCUGAGAGGGUGAUCGGCCACACUGGGACUGAGACACGGCCCAGACUCCUACGGGAGGCAGCAGUAGGGAAUCUUCCGCAAUGGACGAAAGUCUGACGGAGCAACGCCGCGUGAGUGAUGAAGGUUUUCGGAUCGUAAAGCUCUGUUGUUAGGGAAGAACAAGUGCCGUUCAAAUAGGGCGGCACCUUGACGGUACCUAACCAGAAAGCCACGGCUAACUACGUGCCAGCAGCCGCGGUAAUACGUAGGUGGCAAGCGUUGUCCGGAAUUAUUGGGCGUAAAGGGCUCGCAGGCGGUUUCUUAAGUCUGAUGUGAAAGCCCCCGGCUCAACCGGGGAGGGUCAUUGGAAACUGGGGAACUUGAGUGCAGAAGAGGAGAGUGGAAUUCCACGUGUAGCGGUGAAAUGCGUAGAGAUGUGGAGGAACACCAGUGGCGAAGGCGACUCUCUGGUCUGUAACUGACGCUGAGGAGCGAAAGCGUGGGGAGCGAACAGGAUUAGAUACCCUGGUAGUCCACGCCCUAAACGAUGAGUGCUAAGUGUUAGGGGGUUUCCGCCCCUUAGUGCUGCAGCUAACGCAUUAAGCACUCCGCCUGGGGAGUACGGUCGCAAGACUGAAACUCAAAGGAAUUGACGGGGGCCCGCACAAGCGGUGGAGCAUGUGGUUUAAUUCGAAGCAACGCGAAGAACCUUACCAGGUCUUGACAUCCUCUGACAAUCCUAGAGAUAGGACGUCCCCUUCGGGGGCAGAGUGACAGGUGGUGCAUGGUUGUCGUCAGCUCGUGUCGUGAGAUGUUGGGUUAAGUCCCGCAACGAGCGCAACCCUUGAUCUUAGUUGCCAGCAUUCAGUUGGGCACUCUAAGGUGACUGCCGGUGACAAACCGGAGGAAGGUGGGGAUGACGUCAAAUCAUCAUGCCCCUUAUGACCUGGGCUACACACGUGCUACAAUGGACAGAACAAAGGGCAGCGAAACCGCGAGGUUAAGCCAAUCCCACAAAUCUGUUCUCAGUUCGGAUCGCAGUCUGCAACUCGACUGCGUGAAGCUGGAAUCGCUAGUAAUCGCGGAUCAGCAUGCCGCGGUGAAUACGUUCCC